CAGGGAAGGAGUACUGGCACUCAGGCUGCGGGGGCAGGUGAGUCACCGCCAAGACCUAGGCCAGCUGGAGAGCAGCGCCUGUAUCCCUAGGCUGACCUGGGCAACACAAGGGUCUGGUAUGAAGCUAGUGUUAAUGGAGUUCCAUAAAAAAGAAGAGGCCUCCCGGGACUACCCAGUCACCACCCUCUGCCCCAUGACGGACCAAACAUGAUCCUCUCCAGAGUGAAGGGAAAAAGAGAGAGAUGUGAUGAUGGGCAGAAGAGGCACUUGACCAUAAAGGCAGAGACUGGAGUGAUGCAGCCACGAGCCAAGGAAUCAGCUGCCCCCAGAAGCCAGGAAAGGCGAGGAACAGAUUCUUCCCGAGAGCCUCCAGAGGGAGCACAGCCUACAGACACCUUGAUUUCAGCCCAUGGAUGCUGAUUUAAGACUUAUGGUGUCCAGAACGGUGAGAGAAUUAAUUUCCAUUGUCUAAAGCCACCAGGUAUGUGGUAACUUGUUACAGCAGCCACAGAAUAUUAAUAUGAUAACUAAUAACCAAUUUUAAGAAAUUUGUAGCAUUGUUCUGGUAAAUCACCACCACCACCAGCACCACCACUGUAAUAUAUUCAUUUGAGCUUUGUUUAUAAAAGUAAAAUAUCAGAGACAGCCUAGAAUGUUUA